UACGGGGGGGGCAAGCGUUGUUCGGAAUUACUGGGCGUAAAGGGCUCGUAGGCGGCCAACUAAGUCAGACGUGAAAUCCCUCGGCUUAACCGGGGAACUGCGUCUGAUACUGGAUGGCUUGAGUUUGGGAGAGGGAUGCGGAAUUCCAGGUGUAGCGGUGAAAUGCGUAGAUAUCUGGAGGAACACCAGCGGCGAAGGCGGUGCUCUGGGCCGGAACUGACGCUGAGGAGCGAAAGCGUGGGUAGCGAACAGG
rnacentral:rRNA from 1 species